AUUGAACGCUGGCGGCAUGCCUUACACAUGCAAGUCGAACGGUAACAGGUCUUCGGAUGCUGACGAGUGGCGAACGGGUGAGUAAUACAUCGGAACGUGCCCGAUCGUGGGGGAUAACGGAGCGAAAGCUUUGCUAAUACCGCAUACGAUCUACGGAUGAAAGCAGGGGACCGCAAGGCCUUGCGCGGACGGAGCGGCCGAUGGCCGAUUAGGUAGUUGGUGGGAUAAAAGCUUACCAAGCCGACGAUCUGUAGCUGGUCUGAGAGGACGACCAGCCACACUGGGACUGAGACACGGCCCAGACUCCUACGGGAGGCAGCAGUGGGGAAUUUUGGACAAUGGGCGAAAGCCUGAUCCAGCCAUGCCGCGUGCAGGAUGAAGGCCUUCGGGUUGUAAACUGCUUUUGUACGGAACGAAAAGACUCUUUCUAAUAAAGAGGGUCCAUGACGGUACCGUAAGAAUAAGCACCGGCUAACUACGUG
rnacentral:rRNA from 1 species